AUUGAACGCUGGCGGCAGGCUUAACACAUGCAAGUCGAGCGAGCGGCGGACGGGUGAGUAAUGUCUGGGAAACUGCCUGAUGGAGGGGGAUAACUACUGGAAACGGUAGCUAAUACCGCAUACCAUCAGAUGUGCCCAGAUGGGAUUAGCUAGGAGGUGGGGUAACGGCUCACCUAGGCGAUGAUCCCUAGCUGUGCUGAGAGGAUGACCAGCCACACUGGCACUGAUACACGGGCCAGACUCCUACGGUAGGCAGCAGGGGGGAAUAUUGAAAAAUGGGCGCAAGCCUGAUGCAGCCAUGCCGCGUGUGUGAAGAAGGCCUUCGGGUUGUAAAGCACUUUCAGCGGGGAGGCGUUACCCGCAGAAUAAGCACCGGCUAACUCCGUGCCAGCAGCCGCGGUAAUUC
rnacentral:rRNA from 1 species